CUUCACAGAAUUGCAAAGAAAUAUAAAACAGCAAAGUUAAAAAAGGAGGAGGAGGAUAGGGAGGGAUAAGGCUUGAAAACAUUAUCAUCCUUCACUGACUCCUGUUUCUCCUCCUGCUCACAACACUUACAAAGGAGCCUCAGAAACCAAAGCUACAUCAUUCAGGCCCAGUUAUGAAAGUGUGUGUUGGCAUUAGAACAUAUUAGAAGGACUUUGAGGGCCUAACUAAACAGGGAAUUUCAUAUACCGUAAGACAACUUUUAACUUCAUAACAUAUAGGUAAGUGUGUGUUGGAAUUAGACCACAUUAGAGGAACUUUGAGGGCCUAACUAAACAGGGAAUUUCAUAUACUUUAAGACAACUGAUUACUUCAUUUCAUACACAUAAGUGUGUGUUGGAAUUAGACCACAUUAGAGGAACUUUGAGGGCCUAACUAAACAGGGAAUUUCAUAUACUUUAAGACAACUGAUUACUUCAUUUCAUACACAUAAGUGUGUGUUGGAAUUAGACCACAUUAGAGGGACUUUGAAGGCCUAACUAAACAGGUAAUUUCAUGUAGAGCAAGACAACUGAUAACUUCAUUUCAUAAAUAAGUGUGUGUUGGCAUUAGACCGCAUAAGAGGGACUUUGAGGGCCCAACUAAACAGGUCAUCUCGUAUACAGGCAAGACAACUGAUAUCUUUAAAGGGGAGCAAUUAGGAAGGUGGGUUAAGAGGGCAGGCAUUUGUGACGGGGUGACUGGCGCCUUACAUGAGGACACCCAAGGCAAUGGCACGGAACAUCUUUGAACUCUAGGUGGGCAAAACACAAGGCAAAGCGAGGGCAGCCUUGGCUCAGCGUCUCCUGCUCUCAAGACACGUGUGAGGCAUCUCCUCCGUGAGCAAAACAAAUGACGGAGCAUAACAAUAAAACAUUUAAGUCUGAAUGAUUCGAGAGCCAAGUCUGUGGGUGAGACUGAUGGCUAUUUGUGUGAAGUUAGAGUAAGCAAAAUUCAGCCCAGGUCUCACUGCUACGAUUUACAGACAACAUAAAUCAGUAAAAAUGAUAUGCAGAGGUUCAGUAAGUAUGAAAAGUAUAUAAAGCAUCUAGGGUGUAGUACAGAUGUGCCUUGGCAGAAUGAAUACACUGUCAGGGUUGGAGAUGGUGACCAAGCAAUAACACACAGACUCACACAUGUAAUCCUUAAAGCCUUGAGGACUAAUCUGGACUUGGUAACAUGUAGCUAUUCACAGGGACAUUAUCUUCUUGUAAAUUGACAUACACCACAUGUAAUCAUUAAAGCCUUGAGGACUAAACUGGACUUGGUAACAUAAAGCUAUUCACAGGGACAUUAUCUUCUUGUGCAUUAACAUACACCACUAUUUUCUGCCCUAUAAAAGCCAUUCACACCCACACUAUUUAUUUUCUGCCCUAUAAAAGCCAUUCACACCCACACUAACUUAUUUUCUGCCCUAUAAAAGCCAUUCACACCCACACUAUUUAUUUUCUGCCCUAUAAAAGCCAUUCACACCCACACUACUUAUUUUCUGCCCUAUAAAAGCCAUUCACACCCACACUAACUUAUUUUCUGCCCUAUAAAAGCCAUUCACACCCACACUAACUUAUUUUCUGCCCUAUAAAAGCCAUUCACACCCACACUAACUUAUUUUCUGCCCUAUAAAAGCCAUUCACACCCACACUAACUUAUUUUCUGCCCUAUAAAAGCCAUUCACACCCACACUAACUUAUUUUCUGCCCUAUAAAAGCCAUUCACACCCACACUAACUUAUUUUCUGCCCUAUAAAAGCCAUUCACACCCACACUAACUUAUUUUCUGCCCUAUAAAAGCCAUUUACACCCACAAUAACUUAUUUUCUGCCCUAUAAAAGCCAUUCACACCCACAAUAACUUAUUUUCUGCCCUAUAAAAGCCAUUCAUUCUCAUACUAACAACAGGAUGAAAGCUGUGAUGCCUGUGUUUCUAGGGACUCUGGGCUACUGCUGUCAGGCUACCAGUGGCCUACACACAGACAACUCUACAACAGACGACUACUGGUGGUGCCGGGUGUGGUGAUGUGGAAGGAAUCAGGUCCUGCAAACGUGUCUUUUGAACUCAGUGGCUGCCGGUCAUUGUCUCAGGAGGGAGGAGGAGUUGGCGCUUGGGUCUGGGCACGUAAGUAGUUUCAUACACUCGUUUAUCAUAGUUAACCCCAGCCCCCUUGGCUAGGACGUAUAACAAAGUUGUGUUUGGAUGGACUCUUUCAGACACACACACACACACACACACACACACACACACACACACACACACACAGCUGUUUUACAUCACUGAGUCCAAACACGUUCCGAACAUGUUCACUGCUCAUGCUAGUUCAUGGAGGGAUGAAAGCUUGGGUCAUACACUUGCUGGGUGACUUGUAUUAUGUCUGUUUGUGCCAAAGGGAAGUGCCAGGGCAGCAGGUUAUACACAGUCUUCACAUGCAAAAACUCUGGCUACUCAGUGCUUGGAGGGAUGAAAGCUUGGGUAAUACAUUUGUUGGGUGACUUAUAUUUCCCCAUGUGUCUCUCAUUGCCAGAGCAGCAGGUUAUAUACAGUCUCUAUAUGCAAAACUUCUGGCUGGGAAUCUAUGCAAAUAUAUGCAAUUCUUCAGCUUCAGAACAAGUAGUGGUGUUUAUGAGGAACAUUUUAUAUUGUACAGCAAAUAGGGACACAGGUCUUAUUGGACUGCCAAAGACUCUUAUUGCAAAAAUAUGACUCUGAGGCUAUUGUACACACACACACACACACACACACACACACACACACACACACACAUAUCAGGUUCACAGACACCAACACAAUAUUAAGCAGUGACUGAGGGCAAGACAUUGUUUCCUAUUUCCAGCAGUAAGCUCACACUGAGAAGCUGCCUUUACAUAGUGGCAGUGGUGAGCUUGUAGAGUAUCACAGAAUCAUCAGGUUCAUGGACAAGCUACAGGACUCAACACAUUCAUCGGUAAGCUCAUUAACACAAAUCAUCAGGUUCAAGGACAAGCUACAGGACUCAACGCAUUCAUCGGUAAGCUCAUUAACACAAAUCAUCAGGUUCAAGGACAAGCUACAGGACUCAAUACAUUCAUCGGUAAGCUCAUUAACACAAAUCAUCAGGUUCAAGGACAAGCUACACGGCUCAACGCAUUCAUUGGUAAGCUCAUUAACACAAGUCAUCAGGUUCAUGGACAAGAUACAGGACUCAACGCAUUCAUCAGUAAGCUCUCGACUAAUUGCAGAGGCUUUCGUUUUCUCUUAUUCAACACAAGAGUAGCUACAUGGCUCAACGCAUUCAUCGGUAAGCUCUCAACUACCUGCAGAGGCUUUCAUAUCUUCAACACAGUGUUAGUAAUGAUGGUUUAGUGUAUAAGUGAUGACUGACACUUCAAUGCUGUGGUUCUUUUUGCAGGUACAGACACAGUGAGCCUCAAUACACGAUCACAUGCUAUAAGCCCAAGCCAAGAUGUAAUUGAGUAUUGCUUGUCUAACAUAGGCAGCACAAACUCUUAGCAUAUACAUUGAAGAUUGGCCGGGCAACAUAGACAUGAACCGAGCAAUGACAAACAUGAAAGCUUCCACAAGUGUUGCCAGCUUGUGUGACAUCCAGGAACUUAUUUUGGUGAAGACAGUGACCUUGACCUCCUUAUAUUGUGUUAGGAAAAGGUCAGGUUCAGAUAACAACACAGAACAGGUGAGUCUAUAAUAAACUGUCACUUUCCCUCUGACUAAAGCAUUCACUAGGGUUUAAAACUGGUCUUGCCUUCGUUGAUCAUAUAGGUACACGUUAUUAUCUACCCUAAAGCCGUCACUGGGUAGCAUAGUGUUGUAUUGCUGGGAAAACGUCGUCUGUCCAUAACAUUUGCAAGAUAAACCAAGAUAUGUAUUUAACAGAACCUUAUCACUUGUCUCAUGGCACAGAGGGAGUAACUUAUUUUUGGUGAAGACAGUGAGCUUGACCUUUUUAUAUUGUGUUAGGAAAAGCUCAGGUUCGGAUAACAACACAAAACAGGUGAGUCUAUAAUAAUCUGUCACUCUCCCUCUGACUAAAGCAUUCACUGGGGUUUAAAACUGGUCUUGCCUUUGUUGAUCAUAAAGGUACACAUUAUUAUUUACGCUAAAGCCGUCGCUGGGUAGCAUAGUAUUGUAUUGCUGGGAAAACGUCUUCUAUCACCAACACAUGUAUUUAACAGAACCUUAUCACGUCUCUCAUGGCACAGAGGGAGUACUGGCUUACCUAGUGGCUGGGAGGUGAAGUAAGGGAGGAGAUACUGAGACACAAAAACUAACAGAAUUACAUAGAAUUACAUAGAUAACCAGACUACACAGGCCCUAAGGCCCAAACUAGGUGGACUGUCCUAAACCUAAGUGACAGUUGUUUAUGUGGCCACCAUGGCGUUGAAACUGACCUAGUGAACAUUUAGAUGGAGGAGAUAGCGGUCAAGAUUAUUCUUAAACAAUGCAAUCGAGUUACACUGCACCACUGAUGGUGUUAAUCUGUUCCAAUCUCAAACGACAGCAUUAGUGAAGAAGAAUUUUGAGCAAUCUGAAUGAACUUGUCUACAUUUGAGUUUAGCGCCAUUAUUUCUCGUUCACGUCGAAUCAUCCAUCACAAACAGCUUGGUCAGAUCCACGUUGGUAAAACUGUUAAGUAUUUUAAAGCACUCGAUCAGUUUUCCUCUGAGGCGGCGUUUUACAAGAGAAAACAGGUUUAGAUGUGACAGCCUUUCCUCGUAGGGUUUGUUUCGUAAUGAAGGAAUCAACGUAAUGAAGAAACAACUUAUAGCAGCAUCAGCAGUAAUGGUAGUAGUAGUAACUGUAGUAGUAGCAGUAGUCGUUGUAGUAGUAGUAGUGGACCAGAGUAUGUCACCAUUCCUAAGCACAGUAGAAUGACGUCUACCGAGUGGAUGCCGAACCAAAGACUUAACAAGCUUAUAGCACCAGCGAAAACUCUCUAUAAGCUGUGAAAAUUCUCUCUCUCUCUCUCUCUCUCUCUCUCUCUCUCUCUCUCUCUCUCUCUCUCUCUCUCUCUCUCUCUCACAACUUCACA